rnacentral:lncRNA from 1 species
AAAGCAUAUUUUAUUCAACCUAACUAAAUAAUGCUAAUUUCCAAGGUGCUUGCAGCAGAGCUAUGGAAAGCCUACCUAGAGGGCAAGUGCGUGGAGUUGCUCCAGAGACGCUUGGAGAAUGGGAAGGAGACACUGUGACGCAAAGGUAAGAGCUGCCACAAGGCAAUUUCCCCAUCUGUGGGGUGGGGCGUCUCCUCAGAGGGGAGGAAAAUGAGAUCCUAGUAGAAUACUGUCUUUAUCAACAGGGGGGAAGUAGAGUGCUCCUGGGUUUUCAGAUCCAGUAGCAGAGAAUGACUCACCUCAGGGCCCACUUUUUCUUCUCUCAGGACAAUUGGGAAUCUGUGACUGUGAAAAAGAGGGUAGAUCCCUGAAAUAACUGAUCAGCGGUUCCCUUUGAUUCUGGGAACAGAUUGUGAAUCAUGACCUCUCUCAGGCCUUGUUCUCUGUGCUACACCCAAUGUCUUUGGAGAUCUGAUUGCAGUGAUUCUGAGUCUUUCAGCCUCUUCCACCCAGUCAGGACCCUUUACAAUCCCUCAAAUACCUGGAGCUUCCUGCCCUGAUUCUACAACUUUCUAAGAAAUAGAUUAUUCCUUUUGCCUGUGUGUAGGCUAGCAUGUGGGGGUUUGUUGUUGUGGUUUUUUUGUAUUUGGCUUAUAUCUUUUACUAUUCAAAACACAGUAUAUUCCAGCAAAGAGUUAGUAUAAGAACUGUUUUAUCAAAUCAAUUUAGUAAUACUCCAAUUUUCAAUGGCUUCUUCAGAAGUCUAUUGUUGCAGUUAACACACAGGCAAAGCAAUUAUAACGUGGGGUCCCAAAAUAUUGUGGUUUAGACUGUGGCUUAUUUAAGUCUCACAUGGGAAUUCAGUUCAACUCCACACAGUUAUUUAAGGAUAUAGCUUCUUCCAUUUUGUGGUUCUUUAUCUUCAUCUGCAUGGUCAAGUUGAAACUCAGGCACAGUAGCAUGGGAAGUAGUAGCACUUACAAGUAGUUUAUCCUCGUAAGUUAUGAAAUGUUAAGUUGAUACUUCACUUCUGUUCGUGUUCAGUUGGUGGUAACAGUCAUGUGGCUACAUGUAGCUUCAAGUGGUGGUCAGGAUAUACAGAUUUAGCAGAGCAGGUAUUGUUUAGUGUUGGGGUUUGGCAUUCCCCUAUACCAGUUGUCCUAUUCAUUCUCAGGUUGGACACUUGAGUGAUGCUGGAGUGACCCACAGAGAAUUCAGAGUACCUAAAAUUUGUCAUUCUUCUUCCCAGGCCCCCAAAGACACAUGUAACUCACACCCUAGCCCUGAAGGAGCUGUCACCCUGAAGUGCUGGGCCCUGGGUUUCUGCCCUAAGGAUAUCACUCUGAUCUGGCAGUGGUAUGAGGAGGAUCAGACCCAGGACAUGGAGCCUGUAGAGACCAGGCCUGCAGGAGAUGGAAGCUUCCAGAAAUGGGCAGCUGUGGUGGUGCCUUCAGGAGGGGAGCAGAAAUCACAUACCUUGUGCAGCAUGAGGGGUUGCCCGAACCCCUCCCCUGAGAUGGGGUCAGGAGGGGAUGAGGGCACGGAGCUUAUUUUCAUGAAAAGCAGGAGCCAUUCUGGAGCCUCUUCGUAGGUCAGGGCUGAAAGCUGGGGGUCAGAGCUCCUCACCUUCCCCUCUGUUGGCUUCACAGAGCCACCUCCUCAGCCCUCUGUCUCCAUCAAGGGAAUCAUUGUUGGCCUGGUUCUGGUUCUUCUCAGAGCUGUGGACAUUGGAGUUGUGGUGGUUGUUGUGAUGAAGUGGAGGAAGAAGCAGGUAGAGGAGGAUCUGGGUCUGAAUUUUCUUAUUUCAGGCCCCGGGUAGAAGUGUGUCCUGCCUCAUUAAUAGAAAGUACAACCCACACAUACAUGUUUAUACAGCCUGGGGCUGUUUGCUGACAUCCUAUCAUAAAGCACAUGAAAAAUAAAAGACAGAUUUUGCACCCUGAUGAUCUUUGUGAUGGGGACCUGAUUCCCAGCAGUCAGAGGUCAGAAGGGAAGGUCCCUGCUGAGGGCAAACCUCUGGGAGAGCAGAUGGCUCAGUACCUCUAAUCUCCUUUCCCCAUGCCUCCUGGUCAUUUCCUGGGUCUGAAAUCAUGUUCUGGCAACAUCCUUUGAGUGUUAGUACUAGGGGCUUCCUACAGGGCCUUCAUGGCCCUCCUCCUUGCUGACCUCUCACAGGUAGAAAAGAAGGGAGGAGCUACACUCGGGCUCCAUAUAAGUAUGGCGAAAGGGAUGAUCCUUAGGAUUGCAUAGGCAGAAGUCCAUGGGGAAUAUCACCCAUCCCAUAAUUCUUCCUUCAGCCAGUUCUCUUUUGCCCUCUGAAUAUAUCUAGUUGUUUUUCUGUUCCAGGGAGGGACAGUUUCCAGGGCUCUGAUGCGUCUCUCACGGCAUAAAGGUGAGACUCUGCAGGGCCUGAUGUUGGAGAGGGGAUGGGACAGAGAAGACCAAACUGGGUUCCAGGACUUUCUGAAUUUGACCCUUUUGAGUGAGUGAAGCUUUGUUCAGCUGUUGCCACUAAUAGCGCUUGACCUGAAUUUGUUCUUGAUUAUUUUGUUCUGUAGUCUGAGACAGCUGCUUUGUUUGGGACUGAAAGAAGAUUUGUUCAAGCCUCCUCUUUGUGGCUCUAAGAACUCCUGGAUUCUCUUCCUGCAAAGUGUCUAAAUGUGUCUGUGUCCUUGUUGGCAUAAUGUGAGAAGGUGGGGAGACCAGAGCAACCCUACCCACCAGGACCCCAUCCCAAUACUGACCUAUGUUCUUUUCCACAGUCAACUUUCCUGUUCCAACAAAGGUAUGACUUAGAGGACUCCAUCACCGACUCAAGUACACUGAUCUUCAAGUUUUUAUUUCUGUACAGAAAAUAAGAAUCUAAAUAUAAAAUUGAUUUUUAAACAGUUGGAGUUAUUUGAAAUGAGGGGUUGAUUGCUUAAUGAAAGAAAAAGAUGCCUGAAAUUUGAGGAAGGAAAUAAAUUAGAGCACUGAGAACCAUCCACAGUCUGUUUUUGCUGUGCUGAGUCUGUUGCAGAUGGGGACAGAAGACUGUGAGGAGCAGAGAGUGAUUGGGACUGUGCCCAGUCAGUGCUCAGUCCAUGCUGGACUUUGGUCAUCGUCCCUGCUCCUUUCUCUUUGCCCCUCUGGUAAAACUUCUACAAUCUGUGAUCACAGGGAUACAGGAAUUGCCAGGACCAUGGGUAGCAAGGGCUUUCUGUGGCCAGGUUGUUGGGUAGGGGCUCAGAACUAGGAAACAGAUUCAGUGUCCCAACAGGUGGAAGAAGAUGCAAGAAGCAGUUAGGAUAGUAGACAUGCUUUAUUCAGAGGUGACAACAGCCUCUAGCUUCAGCUUUAGCCCCCAGCCAGUUCCAUUUUACCCCCGUUAGUUUAGCCCUGGUUAGUUCCAUUUAGCCCCCAAGUCUUUUCCUUUGGCUCUUUUUAUAUGCAGGCCAACAAAAGAAGGCACACUGCCAACAAGUCACAUAAGUGGGUGUGUGCUCACAAGCAGAAUGUGUAUGACUUUGAGUAUAUAUGUUGAAUCAGAGUGUUUCUGACUUUGGUUACACUGACCAUAGCAUAGAUGAUUCAUGGUUUUGGUCGCACACUAAAAGCACGACAUAGCUUGCCAGAAGCCUAGGUGAGUGAGCCUAAUUAUGGCCAUUUGGGGCCUGCUCCAACACCAGGCCAGCCUAAGUUCAGCCCCUGGUGUGGUCUUCAGCCCAUGACUUUUGUGUUUAUUUCUUGCUUCUCAUAGAGGAUUAUGUCUGUUCUUGUUCUUGGGUAUGAUGCUGGUCUCCUUGUUCUCUAGUGUCCUUCAUUUUUGAUAGCAGCAAGAGGAGUUUUUCCUGUCAUUGUUCUCAUAAGGCCCCUGCAAACAGGAGUCUCUGUGGUAUCAAGAGAUGAGUUUUCACAGUAUGAUCUUCUGCCCUCCUUACAAGGUUGCUUCCUUGUUUGUGUUCUUUCCUUCUUUCCCUGAAUAUUUAAAAAUUGAAUUAUAGAGUCUAGGAUUAGUCAAGGGGAGAGAUCCUGUUGUUUCUCUUUUUAGGUAAAUUCCUUUUGAAAUUCUUUUUUCUGCUCUCCUGGCCUACCCCUCUCCAUGCCUUUAGCUCUAGUAAUCCUAGUGCUGGCUCCUGUCUAAACUGAAGUGUUUAUAGGACAGAGUAUAAUUCAUAUUUAUAUAUAUUUUGGAAAAUAGAUCCAAAUGUCAAGGACUUUUCUUUGCUGAAGGUGUAAGUGUGAGCAUGCACUGUGUAGAGCAGGAGCAGGAGGGCUGUUUUGGGAGGGAGUGUAAGAGGGAGGGCAGCGGUUGUGAGAAAAUCCCAGGCAUCCCCAAUGUCAGUGUAAGGACAGUUUUGCUGCAGCUGCCAUGGGGAGUCUGAGACUGAGACUCCUUCAAUAAAGAUAGAGGGAGGUGCUCUACAGGAAUCAUUUAUUCAAUUGACACUUAUUGUGUGUCAGAUAUGUGACAGUAUUUUUUGCAUCUGUGAAUCUCAUUAGAGGAGAAACAAAAAAUGCUGGCCUCGUGGAGCAUGGUCCUAGUGGGAAGAGGCUGAGGAUACACUGUGCAGAGACAAGAGAAAAACUUGAAAGCAAAUGAGAAAAAACUCACCACACACAAGGGGUUCCCAUUAAGAUUAAUAACCAGUUUCUCAUCAGCAACCAUUGAAGUAGAAGGCAAUGGGAUGACAUAUGGAACGGGCUGAAAGACUAAAACUGUCAACCACAAACUCUCUUUCCUGGUAGACUGUCCUUCAAAAAUGAAGAUACAAUUAUUAGUUUAGAUGAGGCUAAGGACAUGUGUUCCCUUGUUUUCCCUGUGCAGCUACACUGAUUAAGAUUCCUUGGUUCCUUUCAUGUUUGUUUUGGUUAUGGGGAUUGAACCCAGGGGGACUUAAACACUGAGCCAUAUUCCCAGCCAUUUUUUAAAUAUUUUAUUUAGAGGUAGCAUCUCGCUCGCUAUGUUGCUGAGGCUGGCUGAAUUCACGAUCUUCCUGCCUCAGCCUCCCGAGUUGCUGGGAUUAUAGGCGUGCACCGUUAUACUUGGCUCUUUUCAUACUUUUCAUUAUUACUUUUUUGAUUUGUUUUUUUAGGGUGAAUGCCAGACCUUAUUUAUUGGAUUCCCAGAGUCAGGCCUCUGGCCUGGGACUCGGAUAAUAAUUUAGGUGAGAUGAGCCAGGAGAGAGCAUGCUCUUUGAACAUUAGCCACUUACAGCCGGUCAGACCUGAAAGAAGAGGGCAUGAAAUAGGUAUUUAGGAUAAAGAGAGAGACUUAAAGACCCACAAGUCCUUGAGAUGGGAAAGCACAUUUGUAAAUAUUGAGUAAUAUGCCCUUUGGCACAUGCCCUUGUAAAAUGAGGGAAAUGCCCAAAGGAAAACCUGGCAGGAAAUUGUGUAGCUCCACCCUGUCUCCACCAAUUGUCCAGCCCCCAGCACUGGCCCUUUAUAAGUAUUAACAUCCCACACCAGUGGGUGACUGUCUCUCCUUCUGCAGAUUGCCCCCAUUCUCCCUUGAAUGUGUAUCUACUUUCCUAAAUAAACCUCUGUCUAUGCCUUUGACAGGCAUGUGCUGAAACUGUUUUCCAUCACGUAUGCCAAGGAUCCUGUUGGUCUUAAAGUCCAGUUCUCUCUUCUCUCUGGGAACUCCAUGAACCCUUCUUCUGUGACACCUCUUCUUCCAGUGAGAGGCAGAAAAGGAGUUACCCAUGAAGCUGCUGAAAUUACAUUCAUUAUAGGGUCUCUCCCUUCCUUUCUACUGUGGGAUGACAUUGGCUGCUUUAUAUCAUCAUUUACUGAAGCAGAGAAACAAACUUCUGGAUUCUGGCCCCUGAAGUCUGACCCCUGAUAAAUUCUCCCUGACAGUGCAUGGCAGGCUUGUCCUUCCUUUUCCUUGUUGGGGGCUCUUUCCUGAACCCCUCUGGGCUUUUCCCAUUUGUCUGAAGGGAAGUUAGGAUUCUUCUGUGGUGCCAAGUAGACCUAAGGUACACAGAGAAACCGGGUUGGUUUUGGGAGAUCUCAGUUAUGACUUGCAUAGGAAUGGAGAGUGGGAGGAUUUUGUUGAAAUAUAUAUGUAUAUAUAUAUAUAUAUUAGUACCAGGAAUCGAACCCAGCCAUUUAACCAC